GAUGAACGCUGGCGGCGUGCCUAAUACAUGCAAGUCGAACGAUGAAGGAGAGCUUGCUCUCCGGAUUAGUGGCGAACGGGUGAGUAACACGUGACUAACCUGCCCCUUUCUCUGGGAUAACGCUCCGAAAGGAGUGCUAAUACCGGAUACGAACUCUGAACACAUGUUCGGAGUUGGAAAGUUUUUCGGAAAGGGAUGGAGUCGCGGCCUAUCAGCUUGUUGGUGAGGUAACGGCUCACCAAGGCGACGACGGGUAGCCGGCCUGAGAGGGCGACCGGCCACACUGGGACUGAGACACGGCCCAGACUCCUACGGGAGGCAGCAGUGGGGAAUAUUGCACAAUGGGCGCAAGCCUGAUGCAGCAACGCCGCGUGAGGGAUGACGGCCUUCGGGUUGUAAACCUCUUUUAGCAGGGAAGAAGCGAAAGUGACGGUACCUGCAGAAAAAGCACCGGCUAACUACGUGCCAGCCGCCGCAGUAA
rnacentral:rRNA from 1 species